rnacentral:rRNA from 1 species
UAAUACAGAGGGUGCGAGCGUUAAUCGGAGUUACUGGGCGUAAAGGGCGCGUAGGUGGUUUAGUAAGUGAGAUGUGAAAUCCCUGGGCUUAACCUAGGAACUGCAUCUUAUACUGUUAGACUUGAGUACUGUAGAGGGUAGUGGAAUUUCCGGUGUAGCGGUGAAAUGCGUAGAGAUCGGAAGGAACACCAGUGGCGAAGGCGGCUACCUGGACAGAUACUGACACUGAGGCGCGAAAGCGUGGGGAGCAAACAGGAUUAGAUACCCUGGUAGUCCACGCCGUAAACGAUGAGAACUAGAUGUUGGUAGGCAUGACCUAUUAGUAUCGAAGCUAACGCGAUAAGUUCUCCGCCUGGGGAGUACGACCGCAAGGUUA